GAACCUUACCCGGGUUCAAACGACACAGGAACGGCCCUGAAAGGGGUCGGCUCUACGGAGCCUGUGUCGAGGUGCUGCAUGGUUGUCGUCAGCUCGUGCCGUGAGGUGUCGGCUUAAGUGCCAUAACGAGCGCAACCCCCAUCGACAGUUGCUAACAGGUUAGGCUGAGGACUCUGUCGAGACUGCCGGCGCAAGCUGCGAGGAAGGCGGGGAUGACGUCAAAUCAGCACGGCCCUUACGUCCGGGGCGACACACGUGUUACAAUGGCAGGUACAGCGGGAAGCCACCUGGCGACAGGGAGCGGAACCCGAAAGCCUGUCUCAGUUCGGAUUGGAGUCUGCAACCCGACUCCAUGAAGCUGGAUUCGCUAGUAAUCGCGCAUCAGCCACGGCGCGGUGAAUACGUUCCCGGGCCUUGUACACACCGCCCGUCAAGCCAUGGAAGCCGGGGGUGCCUGAAGUGCGCUGCCGCAAGGAGCGCCCUAGGGUAAAACCGGUGACUGGGGCUAAGUCGUAACAAGGUAGCCGU
rnacentral:rRNA from 1 species